GUCCCAGUUCGGAUUGUAGUCUGCAACCCGACUACAUGAAGCCGGAAUCGCUAGUAAUCGCAGAUCAGCGUGCUGCGGUGAAUACGUUCCCGGGUCUUGUACACACCGCCCGUCACACCAUGGGAGCCGGAAAUGCCCGAAGUCGGUGACCCAACCGGAAGGAGGGAGCCGCCGAAGGCAGGUCUGAUAACUGGGGUGAAGUCGUAACAAGGUACC
rnacentral:rRNA from 1 species